CAAAUUAUAAUUUAUAUAAAAUUUUUUAUUUACAAUAAAAUUAUAGUUGUGAAGUUCAACUUAAUUUGA
rnacentral:tRNA from 1 species